rnacentral:tRNA from 1 species
GGUCGUAGCUCAGCUGGGAGAGCACCUGCCUUGCACGCAGGGGGUCAGGAGUUCGAUCCUCCUCGGCUCCACC